ACGAACGCUGGCGGCGCGCCUAACACAUGCACGUCGAACGAGCGAGAGAGAGCUUGCUUUCUUGAGCGAGUGGCGAACGGGUGAGUAACGCGUGAGGAACCUGCCUCAAAGAGGGGGACAACAGUUGGAAACGACUGCUAAUACCGCAUAAGCCCACGGUGCCGCAUGGCACAGAGGGAAAAGGAGCAAUCCGCUUUGAGAUGGCCUCGCGUCCGAUUAGCUAGUUGGUGAGGUAACGGCCCACCAAGGCGACGAUCGGUAGCCGGACUGAGAGGUUGAACGGCCACAUUGGGACUGAGACACGGCCCAGACUCCUACGGGAGGCAGCAGUGGGGAAUAUUGCACAAUGGGGGAAACCCUGAUGCAGCGACGCCGCGUGGAGGAAGAAGGUCUUCGGAUUGUAAACUCCUGUUGUUGGGGAAGAUAAUGACGGUACCCAACAAGGAAGUGACGGCUAACUACGUG
rnacentral:rRNA from 1 species